rnacentral:rRNA from 1 species
AAUACAUCGGAACGUGCCCAAUCGUGGGGGAUAACGCAGCGAAAGCUGUGCUAAUACCGCAUACGAUCUACGGAUGAAAGCAGGGGAUCGCAAGACCUUGCGCGAAUGGAGCGGCCGAUGGCAGAUUAGGUAGUUGGUGGGGUAAAGGCUCACCAAGCCAACGAUCUGUAGCUGGUCUGAGAGGACGACCAGCCACACUGGGACUGAGACACGGCCCAGACUCCUACGGGAGGCAGCAGUGGGGAAUUUUGGACAAUGGGCGCAAGCCUGAUCCAGCCAUGCCGCGUGCAGGAUGAAGGCCUUCGGGUUGUAAACUGCUUUUGUACGGAACGAAACGGCUCUUUCUAAUACAGAGGGCUAAUGACGGUACCGUAAGAAUAAGCACCGGCUAACUACGUGCCAGCAGCCGCGGUAAUACGUAGGGUGCAAGCGUUAAUCGGAAUUACUGGGCGUAAAGCGUGCGCAGGCGGUGAUGUAAGACAGUUGUGAAAUCCCCGGGCUCAACCUGGGAACUGCAUCUGUGACUGCAUCGCUGGAGUGCGGCAGAGGGGGAUGGAAUUCCGCGUGUAGCAGUGAAAUGCGUAGAUAUGCGGAGG